AUUGAACGCUGGCGGCAUGCUUUACACAUGCAAGUCGAACGGUAACAGGCCGCAAGGUGCUGACGAGUGGCGAACGGGUGAGUAAUGCAUCGGAACGUGCCCAGUCGUGGGGGAUAACUACUCGAAAGAGUAGCUAAUACCGCAUACUAUCUAUGGAUGAAAGCGGGGGACCGUAAGGCCUCGCGCGAUUGGAGCGGCCGAUGUCAGAUUAGGUAGUUGGUGGGGUAAAGGCUCACCAAGCCAACGAUCUGUAGCUGGUCUGAGAGGACGACCAGCCACACUGGGUCUGAGGCACGGCCCAGACUCCUACGGGGGGCAGCAGUGGGAAAUUUUGGACCAUGGGCACAAGCCUAAUCCAGCAAUGCCGCGUGCAGGAAGAAGGCCUUCGGGUUGUAAACUGCUUUUGUACGGAACGAAACGGCUCUGGUUAAUACCCGAUGCUAAUGACGGUACCGUAAGAAUAAGCACCGGCUAACUACGUG
rnacentral:rRNA from 1 species